rnacentral:lncRNA from 1 species
AGUGCACUGUGUAAUAGCCCGAGUCUCAGGUGUUCUCAAAAACAUUUACAGUGUAGUGAAAUGCAUAUGCUUUUGUUCCAGACUGUAUGGCUAGAAAUAAGACAAAUGUACUUUGCUAAGAGAUAAGUUGACUUCCCUCCAAAGAUUGAAUGGUUUUAUUAAUUAUUAAUACAUUCAAACUUGUAAUAUUUCCUUUA